UGGUCUAUCAUGCAGUCGAGCGAACGGAUAAGGAGCUUGCUCCUUUGAAGUUAGCGGCGGACGGGUGAGUAACACGUGGGUAACCUACCUAUAAGACUGGAAUAACUUCGGGAAACCGGAGCUAAUGCCGGAUAACAUUUGGAACCGCAUGGUUCUAAAGUAAAAGAUGGUUUUGCUAUCACUUAUAGAUGGACCCGCGCCGUAUUAGCUAGUUGGUAAGGUAACGGCUUACCAAGGCAACGAUACGUAGCCAACCUGAGAGGGUGAUCGGCCACACUGGAACUGAGACACGGUCCAGACUCCUACGGGAGGCAGCAGUAGGGAAUCUUCCGCAAUGGACGAAAGUCUGACGGAGCAACGCCGCGUGAGUGAUGAAGGUUUUCGGAUCGUAAAACUCUGUUAUUAGGGAAGAACAAAUGUGUAAGUAACUGUGCACAUCUUGACGGUACCUAAUCAGAAAGCCACGGCUAACUACGUGCCAGCAGCCGCGGUAAUACGUAGGUGGCAAGCGUUAUCCGGAAUUAUUGGGCGUAAAGCGCGCGUAGGCGGUUUCUUAAGUCUGAUGUGAAAGCCCACGGCUCAACCGUGGAGGGUCAUUGGAAACUGGGAAACUUGAGUACAGAAGAGGAAAGUGGAAUUCCAUGUGUAGCGGUGAAAUGCGCAGAGAUAUGGAGGAACACCAGUGGCGAAGGCGACUUUCUGGUCUGUAACUGACGCUGAUGUGCGAAAGCGUGGGGAUCAAACAGGAUUAGAUACCCUGGUAGUCCACGCCGUAAACGAUGAGUGCUAAGUGUUAGGGGGUUUCCGCCCCUUAGUGCUGCAGCUAACGCAUUAAGCACUCCGCCUGGGGAGUACGACCGCAAGGUUGAACUCAAAGAAUUGACGGGGACCCGCCAAGCGGUGGAGCA
rnacentral:rRNA from 1 species